GCGGUGUUCUAAAAUGUACAUGUGACAGGCUGCCAGUACUCAACUUUCAGCCUUUACCCUGUAUGUGCAGGAAUCUGCCCUCUCAGCAAACAGCCACAGUUACGUGUAGCCUUUUGAUGGCAGCUCUGCCAGCCAAAUUCCCACACAGGCUUAUUACUCACAGGCUAGUCUGUUUGGAAACUGAUAUAGAAGCUCUAAACAACACCCCCC